AAUACAAACACCCAAGCUAUCUUUAAACUUUGACCCUUGUCUCUUUCUCUCCCAUUGGCUAAUUAACGCUCACCUGUAUCUGCAUGCUUUCUUUGGACUGACCAGACAGGACAGAAUUAUUUAGUAUUUGGAGAAACAAGUUCAGAUCAGAGAGAAAUAGUAGAAGUUUAAUUUAAAGGUUUCCCCAGUUGUUAUGGAAUAUAUCAACACAAUGCCUACGUGUAAUUCAUAUGGGUGUGUCUUGUGUAUUAUGUUUACAUGAAUAAAAGAUGAUGCCCUAACCCGUA